AAUCUUUACACGAGUUGUUGUACGAAAAUCCCCAAAACUUGCUUCUCUCUCUCAUUUCUGAUGGUUAUUCUUUUUCAUCAGUUGUCCAUGUGCUAGAGAAUUGAAUUCAAUACAGUGUUGUAAUUCUGCGUCUCUGUUUUGUUGGUAAAAUGGUAAUCGACUAAUUUCAUGGAUCUGAUAAAAGCUGAAUCCAAAGCAAAGGGGAGGGACAAUAUAUUGAGCGAGGAGUUGGAGAUUGAAAUCCUCGCGAGGCUUCCGGUGAUUUCUUUGUUGAGGUUCAAAUGCGUAUGCAAGUCAUGGCGCUCUAUCAUCACUCGCCGUUUCUUCAUUCAAAAACACCUCCAGGUUUGCAACUCCACCAACCCUCCUGAUCUCCUUGUCCAAAUUCUGUCUCCUUAUGAUUUUAAUCUUGAGUCGGCCUCUAUACUUCCUUAUGACAAUCCACUGGAUGUGAAACUCAUUCAAGCCCCACCUGCCUCACCGGGGUCAGAAAUCGAGGGAUCUUGUAACGGUGUCGUUUGUCUGUAUAAUGAGGCCAAUGGCAAUGUGGUUCUUUGGAACCCUCCUACUAGAGAGACCAAGGUUGUCCCACGUUCCCACAUCCAGCGGAAUGAGAGGGAUGCAGAUGUUGAGAUGCAGAAUGUUGGGUUCUAUUUUGAUGUCAACAAUGAUGACUACAGAGUAGUCAUGACUUAUGCUUGUACCCAAAAUGAUCCUAUGAGCUUCCAGCUUCAGGUCUAUAGUCUAACCACCGAUUCUUGGAGAUUGGUUCCAGGAAUUCAAAGUAUGGAUUUAAUGUUAUGCUCAUCCGGUUUAUAUGUGGGUGGGAUGUGUAGCUGGUCAGCGUCUAAGAAGGAAGUGGUACAAGAUGAAGCGGAUGAUGGGACUUGGGGUUGGAAUUUUGGUCGAGAUGAAAUAUUGUCAUUUGACAUCAGCAACGAAAUGAUCAUAAGGACACCUUUCCCUGAAAGUAUUUCUAUAUAUUUCGAUGGUGUGGAAGUAAGUCAUUUGGUGGUUUAUAAGGAAUACCUUGCUAUUAUUAAUGCUGGAGCUAGAUCUCAGGAGGGAAGACUUUUGGAUAUAUGGGUUUUGCGUGAACCUGGUGUAGUGGAGUCAUGGACUAAAUCAUUUACGAUUGGACCCCUUCAAUAUGUUCCACCUCCGCUGGGAUUUUGGGACAGCAGGUUGGUGUUGUGGCAAACAAAUGGUCGAGAGUUGUUCUUCCAUGACUGCACUACCAACCAAAAUACUAGUCUUGCUAUUUCUGGGGAUUCACUCACAUUGCGGAUUUUUCGUUAUAAAGAGAGCCUAGUACAAAUCAACAGUGAGAAUUAAUGCUGGAAGAAUGAUGUGAUUUAAGCAGCCUGCAAAGUUGAGUUGUGAGAUGUGAAUGACUAUUUGUUUUUAUUUACAUUUAGAUGCUCUGUUCUCCUGGAUCUUCUCUUCAUCUGCUAGAUUUUCUUAUGGUGGACAAUGGAAUAUUUUGUUGGUGGCAGGCAGCGGAGCUUUUGCAGUUCUUUCUUAUGACUUGUGAGAUAUACUUGUUCAUUUCCUUUAACAUUUUUCUAGCUUGUCUGUAAGCCCCAAUAAAAAAAUGGGGACUUUAUAUUUUGGUUAGUUUAUGUUAACUUCAAUCCUUAUGUUACAUACUAAGGAGGCGACUUUAAAAUCUAUUUGGUAGUUUAUGUCACUGUUAAAGAUGAACAUAUGAAACUUGAAAAAUUUCUAGUCCAUGUAGUGCUAUUAAUUGA